rnacentral:rRNA from 1 species
AUGGAGAAUAAUAGGCAUGCAGAACUAAAACAACUAAGUUUCUAUCAUGAUCUGCCACGCGCAUUCAGCAAUGUAAAAAAUCCCCGCAAAAAAUACAUGUCCAACAUAUACAAUUAUGAGCUCUUUGGUUCAAAGAAGAUGUUGGUAGGGGAAUUUCCUUUGGUGCCACUAUUCAUCCAUUUGGUUCAAAUGAAUAGAGAGCAGGGGGAAAUGGAGGAAUUUCUUUGGAUACCAGUUUCAAAGAAAAAAUGCAGGAACCAUCUGGACCUCAUUUUUCAAACUCCUACUACCGAAAUCUUGAACAGCAUACGUCUCGUAGAAACUAUAUUAGACAGGCAUAGGCUGGGCCACCCAGCUUGGCCCGGACAAGAUGGGUAA